rnacentral:rRNA from 1 species
GAUGAACGCUGGCGGCGUGCCUAAUACAUGCAAGUCGAGCGAACGGACGAGAAGCUUGCUUCUCUGAUGUUAGCGGCGGACGGGUGAGUAACACGUGGAUAACCUACCUAUAAGACUGGGAUAACUUCGGAAACCGGAGCUAAUACCGGAUAAUAUUUUGAACCGCAUGGUUCAAAAGUAAAAGACGGUCUUGCUGUCACUUAUAGAUGGAUCCGCGCUGCAUUAGCUAGUUGGUAAGGUAACGGCUUACCAAGGCAACGAUGCAUAGCCGACCUGAGAGGGUGAUCGGCCACCCUGGAACUGAGACACGGUCCAGACUCCUACGGGAGGCAGCAGUAGGGAAUCUUCCGCAAUGGGCGAAAGCCUGACGGAGCAACGCCGCGUGAGUGAUGAAGGUCUUCGGAUCGUAAAACUCUGUUAUUAGGGAAGAACAUAUGUGUAAGUAACUGUGCACAUCUUGACGGUACCUAAUCAGAAAGCCACGGCUAACUACGUG